UGGGGAAUUUUGGACAAUGGGCGCAAGCCUGAUCCAGCCAUGCCGCGUGCGGGAAGAAGGCCUUCGGGUUGUAAACCGCUUUUGUCAGGGAAGAAAUCUUCUGAGUUAAUACCUCGGGAGGAUGACGGUACCUGAAGAAUAAGCACCGGCUAACUACGUGCCAGCAGCCGCGGUAAUACGUAGGGUGCAAGCGUUAAUCGGAAUUACUGGGCGUAAAGCGUGCGCAGGCGGUUUUGUAAGACAGAGGUGAAAUCCCCGGGCUCAACCUGGGAACUGCCUUUGUGACUGCAAGGCUUGAGUGCGGCAGAGGGGGGAUGGAAUUCCGCGUGUAGCAGUGAAAUGCGUAGAUAUGCGGAGGAACACCGAUGGCGAAGGCAAUCCCCUGGGCCUGCACUGACGCUCAUGCACGAAAAGCGUGGGGAGCAAAACAGGAUUAGAUACCCCUGGUAGUCCACG
rnacentral:rRNA from 1 species